AUCACUUCUCGGCCUUUUGGCUAAGAUCAAGUGUAGAAUAUGCCGUGGAAAUGUUCAGGUAGCGUCAUUUAUUCUUAUCUUUGUGAUAUCCUAC
ensembl:snRNA LOC120098021 U2 spliceosomal RNA